GGCCUACGGGAGGCUGCAGUGGGGAAUUUUGGACAAUGGGGGAAACCCUGAUCCAGCCAUCCCGCGUGUGCGAUGAAGGCCUUCGGGUUGUAAAGCACUUUUGGCAGGAAAGAAACGUCGCGGGCUAAUACCCCGCGGAACUGACGGUACCUGCAGAAUAAGCACCGGCUAACUACGUGCCAGCAGCCGCGGUAAUACGUAGGGUGCAAGCGUUAAUCGGAAUUACUGGGCGUAAAGCGUGCGCAGGCGGUUCGGAAAGAAAGAUGUGAAAUCCCAGAGCUUAACUUUGGAACUGCAUUUUUAACUACCGGGCUAGAGUGUGUCAGAGGGAGGUGGAAUUCCGCGUGUAGCAGUGAAAUGCGUAGAUAUGCGGAGGAACACCGAUGGCGAAGGCAGCCUCCUGGGAUAACACUGACGCUCAUGCACGAAAGCGUGGGGAGCAAACAGGAUUAGAUACCCGUGUAGUC
rnacentral:rRNA from 1 species